UUCAAUUUUGACUAAAAAAAUAUCUUUACUAAUAUCUCUUUAUUCAGCAAUCGGACAAAGAGCAAAAAAAAUAUAUAUAUAUAUAUCCCCCCAGAAAACCCAACAUGCAUCAAGAAGGCAACACGUAUUGGAAAUUGGUAAUUCCCAACACAGACACGACAUUGCAGAAGGUGGAAGGAAGAGAACAGAAGGCAUCGAAAAGCUUCGAUGGUUUCGGAGACGUGGAGGCUUGCGUUGCAGCUUCAACGUUGUACCGUUGAUCUCGGUUGACACGUACAAACCCGCAGAUCCAGCCCCCCACGUCACUGCUUCUGGUUUGAAAUUCAGAUGGGGAACUUGGAAAAGAUGCGCUGCUUUCCUGGUAAGAGGGGAACUCAAGGACUUGAGCAGGGUGGCUCAGAGUGAACGCCGCAAUUGUUGCUGAAAGUAUGAAGUUGGAGUAGUCGGUGGUUUCGAAAUUGAUGAGUAUCGUACAAACACUAAGGUUCGAAGAAAUUAUAAGCUACUUUAACUUGUAGAUCGAACGCAAGAAAGCGCCAGACAAAGGGUGCAAGAAAAACGUGACACAACUUAGACAACUCAAAUUGAAGGACGUUCGCAUUUUACUAGAGCAUCCGAAGGAUUAUAUAACUCGCUAGAUUCGUUUUAAACCAAAUGCAAGAAGGGCCAUAUUUAAAUUUUGUCAGCGUUGAAAGAAACAGAUGGACAGCUUCGAAAGUGUUAAUAUCUUGUCAUUUUAGAAGGUCUAGGUUUUGCUAAUCACAAAUAUACUAGCAGAGUGUUGUUAUUUACACUUCAUCGUAAUCAUUAUGCACUCCUCGUUAAUAAUGAAAUUAGAAAAGAAAAAGAAAAAAGGAGUGCAUGAUGAUUAUUUUAAUGGAACUUUAAUGAAAAACUCCCAGUAAUGUUUA